GACGUAGGGCGCGAGCGUUGUCCGGAUUUAUUGGGCGUAAAGAGCUCGUAGGCGGCUUGUCGCGUCGAAUGUGAAAACCCACGGCUCAACUGUGGGCUUGCAUUCGAUACGGGCAGGCUAGAGUUCGGUAGGGGAGACUGGAAUUCCUGGUGUAGCGGUGAAAUGCGCAGAUAUUAGGAGGAACACCGGUGGCGAAGGCGGGUCUCUGGGCCGAUACUGACGCUGAGGCGCGAAAGCUAGGGUAGCAAACGGG
rnacentral:rRNA from 1 species